rnacentral:rRNA from 1 species
UGACAGCUCCCCGAGGCAUAUCGCAGCCUCCCACGUCCUUCAUCGGCUCUCGAUGCCAAGGCAUCCACCAUGCGCCCUUAGGCACUUACUUACACACAAAACCAAAGAAGAAAAUUA